UUCCGGUUGAUCCCGCCAGAGGUUACUGCUAUCGAGGUUCGACUAAGCCAUGCGAGUCGAAUGUAGCAAUACAUGGCGUACUGCUCAGUAACACGUGGACAACCUACCCUUAGGAUGGGGAUAAACCCGGGAAACUGGGUAUAAUACCCAAUAGAUCUGGUCUGCUGGAAUGCUUCCAGAUUUAAAACUCCGGUGCCUAAGGAUGGGUCUGCGGCCUAUCAGGUUGUAGUGGGUGUUGUGUACCUACUAGCCUACGACGGGUACGGGUUGUGAGAGCAAGAGCCCGGAGAUGGAUUCUGAGACACGAAUCCAGGCCCUACGGGGUGCAGCAGGCGCGAAAACUUUACAAUGCCGGCAACGGCGAUAAGGGGACCUCGAGUGCCAGGUUACAAAUCUGGCUGUCGCGAUGCCUAAAAAGCAUUGCAUAGCAAGGGCCGGGCAAGACCGGUGCCAGCCGCCGCGGUAACACCGGCGGCUCGAGUGGUAACCGUUAUUAUUGGGUCUAAAGGGUCUGUAGCCGGCCGGGUAAGUCUCUUGGGAAAUCCAGCAGCUCAACUGUUGGGCUUUCAGGAGAUACUGCCUGGCUCGAGGCCGGGAGAGGUGAGAGGUACUUCAGGGGUAGGGGUGAAAUCUUGUAAUCCUUGAAGGACCACCAGUGGCGAAGGCGUCUCACCAGAACGGACCUGACGGCAAGGGACGAAAGCUAGGGGCACGAACCGGAUUAGAUACCCGGGUAGUCCUAGCCGUAAACGAUACUCGCUAGGUGUCGGCCACGGUGCGACCGUGGUCGGUGCCGUAGGGAAGCCGUGAAGCGAGCCACCUGGGAAGUACGGCCGCAAGGCUGAAACUUAAAGGAAUUGGCGGG
rnacentral:rRNA from 1 species